GCGGCGGCGCGGCUGUCUAGGAAACAGCAGUCUCGGCGAGUCCGGCUGGCGGCAGCAGCCGGGCAGGGGGCGGGGGCUGGGCAGCCACCAGGGCCUGAACACAGCGCGCCGGCGUCGUGGCGUGGAUAUACCCGGUUUUAAUGUGGUUGUAAUUGGCAUAAUAUCCCAUACCAAAAUGUCUUUUGAGCAGAAGAAAUAGAGGUGAACUAUAAAGUGAGAGCCAGUUGCCUCUCUACUCUGCAAUCUAGGAGGAAAAAAGUUUCACCCAAGGACAAAUCAGGUGUUGGACCUAGAUGGGAAACCAAAUUAUAAUCAAGAAGUUUCUUGGUGAACAACAAGCACCAUGAAUAUGUCUUGUUUUUUUGUUUUUUGUUUUGGUUUGUUUCACAAAAUUUAUCUCUUUCAGAAAUUCCUCAAGGAUAUCAUCAAUAAUAGCUGCUAUUGGCAUGUACUGUCAGUCCUUAACUUAUAAAUAGCCUCCACCCCUGUGCCCUACCACCAGGGGCUCUGCUGCCAUAGAAACGGUUGUUAAUAAACAUGGGUAUUUUAGAGAAUCUGUGGGUUCAGAAUUGAAGGAAGGGAAAGUCUGUGAAAAACUGAGUUGCUAAAGGGUGCUAAUUUCAGGGAUGGACUCCUAAGUAGGAUGAGUAGAGAUCUCUUUACUUAAAAUAUAUUUCUGUAGCACUGCCUGAGGUCCUUACCCCCACCCCUGCCACUUCUGUUAUAUUGCCUGAAAUUUCACCAAAUAGAGAUUGGUUUUUAUUUGUUAAAUGUUCUCUUAAAACUAUAAAUACCUAUGCAUGGCAGAUAUUCUUAGUGACCUUUCUAAUACCCAUUCCCUGUUGCUCACCUUCAUUUUCUUAGGGGCAACAAUGUGCCCAUCUUCAAGCAAAAAACCCUAAAGUCAUUUAUAACCAUCCCAUUCUCUUUUGCCAGUGAUCCUGAAGACAAGUCUGCUGACUUUAGGGAAGGCUUUUGUUUUCCUAAUAUAGAGACUGUUAGGUGGCUGGUACUUUUUCCACUUUCUUUGUGCCUUAACUGCAGACAUGCAGCUGGGAAAUGUAGCAGCCAUCUUGCAACCAUGAGAUGGCAAGCAUGAUACUGAAAAUGUGAUUCCAAACAAACUGAGGACUGUGGAGGAGAAGGAUCAAAAGAGUCGAGAACAUUGUUGGACAGUGUGUCCAACCUUAGACUGCCUACCUCCAGGCUUAUUAUGGGGGAAAAAAGGGGGAGAAAAGUUGUAACCUUUGUUGUAUAAUAGCAAAGCAUUAUACCUGUGCCUACUGUUUCUUGGAAGGCUGACUGUGCAAAUUGAAGCUGCAGUGUUAGGAGAAAUGAUAGGAGAAAUUUGGAAUGUUGUCAUGUGUUUGUUACUUUUUGUGGCUUUUCAGAAGGAUCCUAGAGAAGGGGUGAACUCAAAUUACUGCCCCUCAGCACGAGAGCAGUGGAGGCAACAAAAUAUAGCUUUGCUAUGGAGGUAUUCUGCCUUUAGCUCACACUCUAAAUGGACAAGGAGUCUCAUAAUUUGGAAUUUUGUAGGAUUAUGUGCAGUACCUCCUCACCUAAGACUAUUUUUAGAAUUGCUUCAAAUCUUUCAUGAGAGUUCAGAGGUCAGUAGCUAAAUCUCCAGGCCUAAAACUUACUUCCAGAAAUGAUUUUUGGCUAUGGUUACUCAUACAAGGAAUUGAUCUGGAGAAAAUAGCCCAGAAGCUUGAUGCAUCUUUGAGGGAACUAUAAUAUAGAGGUGGCAGCUAGUUGUGAUUGUUUUUACCUUCUAAGCAAUCCACAUUCCUUCUUUCCUAAGUCAAACCAACAUGAAGUAGACUACAAAAGCUGUGGAGCCCCUGAGAAGGGCAUCUGCUUCAAAACCUACCUUAGAUAUGGCCAUAGAGGACAAUGUCAACGCAGAUAUUCCAGAGAUUUAAACUAAGAGCUGCCAGAUUGGCUAACCAGGGAGUUUACCUUAUUGCCUGCUAAGGAAUCUCUGAUUUCUGACCAAUGAGAUUAUGAUGUGGGUUGUGAACUAUUGACCACUGUGUGCUUCCUGUUGUCCCCUUUUCGCAAUAGAGUUUUUAUUGAGGGGCACCUGGGUGGUUCAGUUGAUUAAGUGUCCGACUUAGGCCUAGGUCAUGAUCUCAC